rnacentral:rRNA from 1 species
GACGAACGCUGGCGGCGUGCUUAACACAUGCAAGUCGAACGGAAAGGCCCUGCUUUUGUGGGGUGCUCAAGUGGCGACCGGGUGAGUAACACGUGAUUACCCUCCCCUUGAUUUUGGGUUACCUUAAGGAAACGGGGCCUAUUACGGAAUGGGAGCUCCUCUGCCAUGGUGGGGGUGGGAAAUUUUCGGGGGUUGGGGAUGGCCUCGGGGGUUUCCACUUUGUUGGGGGGGUGUGGGGUUCCCAAGGCUUUGACGGGAGGCCGGCCUGAGGGGGGGGACGGGCAAAUUGGGAAUGGGGAAAGGGCCAGACUCCUACGGGAGGCAGCAGUGGGGAAUAUUGCACAAUGGGCGGAAGCCUGAUGCAGCAACGCCGCGUGCGGGAUGACGGCCUUCGGGUUGUAAACCGCUUUCGCCUGUGACGAAGCGUGAGUGACGGUAAUGGGUAAAGAAGCACCGGCUAACUACGUG